UGGGCCAUGCGGUGAGUGUUAUAGCUCUA
rnacentral:piRNA from 1 species